GGCUCAGCCAGGCUGUGUCCUCGCUGUGGGGCUCCACGGGGCACAAACCCACAGCUCUGGUCCCAGUGACACCUCCCGCCCGGGGGUGCCGAAUGCUGCCGGAGCCAGGAUGAGCAGGUUAAAAAAGAAAAAUGUCGAGCCUCACAGCACUCGGCACACUUCCCUUGCGCACUGUGAAGGUGGUUCCUCCUGCCCUCAUGGGUCCUUUCGAAAUGAGAAGGUGAGCCUGCGAGCAUGGGACCAGCUCUGUGCCUCAGCCUGAAGGUCCUUCUCACACGGCGGGUCGUGUCUGAGACCCGAGUCCUGGCUCACACUAAUCUAUGUUCAUCUCUGGCUCCAUCUCAGGGUUUGCAACAUGAGCAUAUUAAAAUGUUUUUAGAGCCCAA